CCCGAAGUCGGUGGGGUAACCGCAAGGAGCCAGCCGCCGAAGGUGGGGUAGAUGAUUGGGGUGAAGUCGUAACAAGGUAGCCGUAUCGGAAGGUGCGGCUGGAUCACCUCCUUU
rnacentral:rRNA from 1 species